rnacentral:tRNA from 1 species
GGUUAUGGCUCAGUGGUAGGGUGCUUGCCUAGGAUGCAUGAGGUACUGGGUUCAAUCCACAGCACCA